AUUUGGUAGGUGUGAUGGAAAAAAGCAGAAACUAUCACAACUGGACAAUAACUGAAGAUGCGAAGCUCGUGGAAGCAUUGGUAAAUAUGGUGAACAUGGGAGGAUUUAAAGCCGAUAAUGGUUUUAAAUCUGGAUAUUCACAACAUCUAGAAAACGCAUUGAAGUAAAAAAUACCUAGCUCUGGCAUAUUGGGUAAACCCCACAUUGAGUCAAGGAUCAAAACCAUGAAAAAGGAUUGGCAGGUUGUUUAUGAUAUGGUGAAUGGUACAAACACAAGUGGUUUUGGUUAUGAUACCUCCACUCAUUCUGUAACAGCUGAACCAGCGGUUUGGGAUUCUUACAUACAGGAUCAUAAAGAGGCAGGAAAAUGGAGAAAUAAGAUAUUUCCUCAUUACGAGGAUUUAUGUAUCAUUUUUGGAAAUGAUAGAGCUCAAGGGAAUAAAGCCAAGGAUUUUGCCCAAAUGGAAGAAGAUGCAAAUAAUGAAGAACAAUCUGAACAAAUAGAAAUGGUUUUGAAGAACAAACCACAGAAAAUGAAGAAUCUCCAAACAUAG